rnacentral:rRNA from 1 species
GAUGAACGCUGGCGGCAUGCUUAAUACAUGCAAGUCGGACGGACAGUGGUGUUUUCCGUGGCGGACGGGUGAGUAACGCGUAAGAAGCUGCCCUUGGGAGGGGUACAACAGCUGGAAACGGCUGCUAAUACCCCGUAGGCUGAGGAGCAAAAGCAGGAAUCCGCCCGAGGAGGGGCUCGGGGUGGAUUAGUUAGUGGGUGAGGCAAUAGCUUACCAAGGCGAUGAUGAGUAGCUGAUCUGAGAGGAUGAUCGGCCACAGUGGGACUGGGACACGGCCCAGACUGCGACGGGAGGACGGAGUAGGGAACUACGCGAGACGGCAGUAAGGAUGACGGAGCAACGCGGCAUGGGCGAAGAAGGUCUUCGGGCCGGAAAGUAGUGGUGCUAGGGAUGAACAACUUCUUUAGUAAGAGAAGAGGCAAUGACGGUAUCUGACCAGAAAGCAACGGCUAACUACGUG